rnacentral:rRNA from 1 species
GAUGAACGCUGGCGGCGUGCCUAAUACAUGCAAGUCGAGCGAAUGGAUUAAGAGCUUGCUCUUAUGAAGUUAGCGGCGGACGGGUGAGUAACACGUGGGUAACCUGCCUAUAAGACUGGGAUAACUCCGGGAAACCGGGGCUAAUACCGGAUAAUAUUUUGAACUGCAUGGUUCAAAAUUGAAAGGCGGCUUCGGCUGUCACUUAUGGAUGGACCCGGGUCGCAUUAGCUAGUUGGUGAGGUAACGGCUCACCAAGGCAACGAUGCGUAGCCGACCUGAGAGGGUGAUCGGCCACACUGGGACUGAGACACGGCCCAGAAUCCUACGGGAGGCAGCAGUAGGGAAUCUUCCGAAAUGGACGAAAGUCUGACGGAGCAACGCCGCGUGAGUGAUGAAGGCUUUCGGGUCGUAAAACUCUGUUGUUAGGGAAGAACAAGUGCUAGUUGAAUAAGCUGGCACCUUGACGGUACCUAACCAGAAAGCCACGGCUAACUACGUGCCAGCCGCCGCGGUAA